CCCUUAGAUGUUCUGGGCCGCACGCGUGCUACACUGAGUAAUUCAAUGGGUAAGGGAACGCUAGAGCAUUACCUAAUCUUGAAAUUUGCUCGUGAUGGGGAUCGACGGUUGCAAUUUUCCGUCGUGAACGAGGAAUACCUUGUAGGCGCAUGUCAUCAUCAUGCGCCGAAUACGUCCCUGCCCUUUGUACACACCGCCCGUCGCUCCUACCGAUUGAAUGAUCCGAUGAAUACCAUGGAUUGAGAGUACGAAUAGGUUCGCUUAUUUCUGCUGCUCGAGAAGUGGAGUAAAUCUUAUCAUUUAGAGGAAGGAGAAGUCGUAACA
rnacentral:rRNA from 1 species